AAUUCGAUUAGAGUUUGAUCCUGGCUCAGAGCGAACGCUGGCGGCAGGCCUAACACAUGCAAGUCGAGCGGGCACUUUCGGGUGUCAGCGGCAGACGGGUGAGUAACGCGUGGGAACGUACCCUUUGGUUCGGAACAACUCCGGGAAACUGGAGCUAAUACCGGAUACGCCCUUUUUGGGGAAAGAUUUAUCGCCGAAGGAUCGGCCCGCGUCUGAUUAGCUAGUUGGUGAGGUAACGGCUCACCAAGGCGACGAUCAGUAGCUGGUCUGAGAGGAUGAUCAGCCACACUGGGACUGAGACACGGCCCAGACUCCUACGGGAGGCAGCAGUGGGGAAUAUUGGACAAUGGGCGCAAGCCUGAUCCAGCCAUGCCGCGUGAGUGAUGAAGGCCUUAGGGUUGUAAAGCUCUUUCACCCACGACGAUAAUGACGGUAGUGGGAGAAGAAGCCCCG
rnacentral:rRNA from 1 species